UCAGUUUUGAAGUUUCGUUUGUUUAUCAGUGUAUCGUUUUUUAAUGAAAGACGGAGGUGAUCAAAAUUCUUGGUUAUAAAUAUGUGCUGUUAAUGUUCCUGUUUCUAAAUAGUGGAUUUUAUGUAUCAAAGGAUACAUAAUGUAUAAAAGAUGUAUAAUGUAUAAAGGAUGGAUAUGUAUAAAGGAUAAAUUUAAAGUUAUUGUCUUUAUUGGUUUGUUGGUGAAGAACUCCUUAAAUUUGGAAUGUUAACUGAACCAAUCAUGCAUGAAAGUAUAAUGAGGUUGCUCUCGCAAGGAGAUGAAGAAUCACUUGAGUGUUUGAGUAACUUACUAAAAACGAUGGAAGGUUAUUUUACACAAAUGCAGAAAAUAUUAGACAAACAUUCAAACAAUUCUAAGGUCAGAUUUAAGUUGCAAGAAGUAACAGAUUUAACGAGGGAGGUUGUCGCAGUGUCAGUUUCAACCUCUCCAGAAGUCCCUCAAAGCCAAGCAGAUGAACAGCCUCUACCUCCUGCUGCAAUUGUAAAUAGUGAAUUACUUAAUACUAUUCAUCUGCCUUGGGGAAUACUCUCUGACAAUUCACCUCAGAGUGACAUCUCACUAGUUGAACAGCAGAGUGAUUCAUUUUCAGUUUCACCUACAACUGAAAAUGAAGACAAAGAAAAUGUAGAUGAUCAAGCGCAGAAUAAAAUAAAACAAUCAAAUAAAAUAAAAUACAACUACAAAGAAGAUCAAUGGAGUCCUGUAAAUAAAGAGGGGAAUAAGCGAUACGAUAGGAAUUUUCUUCUUCAAUUACAAUGCGUGCCUAUGUCCUUAGUUAAACCUCAGAAAUUGCCAAACCUAGAUGUCAUUAAAGACAAGCCUCAUGUACAUAAGUUGGGCAGACCAAAGUUAUUGCCUGUACUGUCUAUCUACCGAGAUCACUUUUGGCCAUCUUUACCUCGGAGAGGUGUACCAAGAAUGAAAAAUCGGUUUCCUAGAAAGGACGAAAACAAUCCUAAAGCCAUCAAACUAACUCAAAAAGAAGCUGAACCUGAAGCACAUGAGGAACAAGAGAAACUCCAGAACGUUCCCUUCCAAAAAAGAGUACCUCAUGACCAAGACAGAAGUAAAAAUAUAGCUGAAAGCACUGAAAUAUCUGAAGAGGGCUUGAUGUCUUCUACAAAAAAUAUAAGUAGCUGUUGUAUUGUUGAUCCUGAAAAACCUGCACUGUCUAAGCUUACUGAUGUCGACAGUAUAAGGCUUGGACCAGGAAGAGCAAUGCAAAGUUCGAGUGGAGGUGAAAUUGACUGUAAUUCAGGCUCUAGUCCUGAGAGGGCAGCAGCUCAAACCUCUGAAAUAUCUGAAGAGGACUUGAUGUCUUCUACAAAAACUGAAAGUGGUAAUAGCAAUGAUGAUCCCAAUGAAUUAAAACUGACUGAGAAAUCGUCUACUGAACCAAGCAAUACACUUCAUGAUAUGAAUACGCAGGCUGUUGCAGCUCAACCAGAAAAGUAUCCUAGCUCUGGUGGAAUGCCUACUGCUCAGCAGCACUAUCAGUCGAUGGCUGGUCCAGUAUAUAAUCCUCAAGCUGCUACUUUAGCACAGCAAUGUCAACAGAUGCGUGCUAAUCCUAUGGCAAUGCCGCAAUAUGCUUUUACUCAACAAUUGUCUACUGUUCCAAGCAAUACACCUCAUGAUAUGAAUAAGCAGGUUGCUGCAGGUCAACCAGGAAUGUAUACUAACUCUGGUGGAAUGCCUACUGCUCAGAAGCACCAUCAGUCGAUGCCUCAGAUGAACAAUUAUGCUAAUCGGCGUAGUCUCCAAGGAAGAGAUUCUAAAACCAAAAAAGAUAAAGAGAAACUUAAAAGAAGUGUCCAAGGAAUCCUUAAUAAACUUACGCCACAGAAGUUUGAAACUCUAUUGACUCAAGUUAAAAAUCUUAAUAUCGACACCGAGGAAAAACUGUGCACAGUCAUUGAUUUAAUAUUUGAGAAGGCUGUGGACGAGCCAAACUUCAGUGUCCCCUAUGCAAACAUGUGCAAGCAUUUGGCAUUGAUCAAAGUGCCCACUAAGAAUAAGAACUAUGUGAAUUUCCGUAAAGUUCUUUUAACGAAGUGCCAGAAAGAAUUUGAACAGGAUAGAAGUGAUGAAUUGAAACACGAGGAAAGGGUUAAGGCUCUGGAAGAGACUGAUCCAGAAAAGAAGAAAGAGUUAGAGCAGGAAAUGUAUGAUGAAGAUAAGAAAGUGAGAUAUAGGCAGCUUGGCAAUAUAAGAUUUUUGGGCGAACUCUUUAAACUUGGGAUGUUAACUGAACCUAUCUUGCAUAAAUGUAUAAAGAUUCUCAUCUCCCGAGGAGAUGAAGUAUCACUUGAGUGCCUGAGUCAAUUGCUGAAAACGACAGGUAAAGAAUUGGAUUAUCGAAGAGUUAAAGGUUCAAGAGAAAGUAUGAUGGAUGGUUAUUUCACACAAAUGCAAAAUAUAGUAGACAAACGUUUAACUGGUUUUAGGGUUAGGUUCGUGUUGCAAGAUGUUAUAGAUUUAAAACGGAAUGGUUGGGUUCCUAGAAGAGAGGAAAACAAUCCUAAAACCAUUGACCAAAUUCACAAAGAAGCUGAACGUGAAGCACGUGAGCAACAACAGAAUCUGCUGAACAUGCUCUUCCAAAAAAGAGUACCCGCUGACUCAGACAGAAGAAAAAAUACUGGUGUGCAUAUGUGACCAUUCCUUAAUUCAGAUGAGAACAUAAGUUGAAAGGUCCAGAAUAUAAUAUUGAUCGGAUGGAAAUUAAAGCUAGGCUCCUAGUUGAUGAGUUUUUAGAUAAUAAUGAUUUUGAGGAAGCAAUCAGGUGU
rnacentral:misc_RNA from 1 species